rnacentral:lncRNA from 1 species
AUUACAGAACGGCUUUGUUUAAUGUAGUAAUCUGUCAAUCAAGUGAGUACUGGUAUAUUGAAUUAUUUCAUUUAUAAAUACUUACAAUUCAAUUACUCUAACUGUAGUUGCAAUGAACUAAUACUGCAAUCUCAAUGGCUACGUUAUUUAACAUCAAGUGUUUGCUUUUGUUUCAAUCUCUUUUGUUUAAGUAUUUUGAUUUCUUGAAGGUAAUUAUAGACAACGUGUUGAUUGGUUUAAAACGAUGAUACAAUCACUAAUUAAUCGGUCUAUUGAAUGUCCUCUGUAAUGUCAUCCAAACCAGUGACACUGAAGCGCAUCUUCAAUCACACGAUACAAAUUACGUUCUGUGUAUUCAUUAUUGUGUUUUGCAUACCAGUUUCCAUGGAUUUCGUGGUUACCCGAGAUCCACGAAUUCCCAUAAAACUGUAAAGAUAACAUUAUAUAUUACAUUCCUUAUCGAGGCUCAAUUACACCACUCUUAAUUUUGCCUAUAUUUGACUGCAGUUUCUGGAAUACGGUGCUUCCCAUUUUAACCCUGACAAUCUGCGAGAAAUAAGUUUUGGAAAACCUAACUUCUCCAUUGCUAAAAAUUGAAAUUUUAAAGAAAAUUAGAUGUCAACUUCCUAAGGCAAAGUUGAACAAAUGAAUUUGGUAUUUUUUUUAAUCCCUUUUGGUCACAAAGCUCCUUACGUAUUGAGUUCUUAUACAUCAUAUCAUAAAAAGUAAAAUCACAAAAGUAAUGAACUUAGAGCAAAAUCUAAUCGGAAAGUCCAUAAUCACAUGGCAAAAUCAAAUAACAAAACACAUAAAAAACGAAUGGACAAAAUCUGUCAUAUUUCUGACUUGGUACAGGCAUUUUCAAAUGUAGAAAAUGGUGGAUUAAACCUGGUUUUAUAGCGCUAACCCUCUCACUUUGAUGACAGUCUCAUUAAAUUCCGUUAUAUUUACAAUGAUGCGUGAACUAAACAGACAUAAUAAAUAAAAUAGUCAAAAUAUGGGUACAUCAGUCAUCAUCGUGUAACAAUUUGAAAAGGAACAAUUUAACAGAACACAAAAACAUUUAUCUACAAACACAUUCAUUGAUUCGCGUGUCUGACGUUAGAAAAUUUUAUACGUCACAUAUAUUUGUCGUUCAAUGUGUAUACAAACAAUUUUAUAAUUUCACAUAGGCAAUUUUAGCAUACAGAGUGAAAAAAUCAAAAGUAUGUAAGAAUUAAUUUCAGAAAUAGACCGAGAUUUGAAAUAGUCCAAAAGUUAUAUAAAAUUUAUAAGAAUCCACAAAUAGUUCAGGGCUUUCAAAUGUUUGUAUUUUACCGUUCCUGAUAAAGGAUAAUCCAGAAAAGACUUGGUACGCAAGAAAGUGUUAUUUUCAUUUAGAACGGUUUAUAGUUGUUUUUUUGUUUUUUUUAGAUUAUUCGAAAAUAAUGAAACAUCAGAUUUGCCGAAGUGUCUUGUUAACCUCAAGUUUUUGAGAUAAAAUUAAGCAAGAAAAAAUUAUAUUCUAGUAUUCAUUUUCUGGUUUAAUUUUACAAUACAUUUAGGAUAUUUAUUAUACAGAAAGUUGUUAUUUUCGAGCGUAGUGCUACUGCAACUAAUAUGUAUAGAUUAUUACAUGGCAUUUUUCAUAUCAGACCCUUUAUCGGCCCAAGGUUAUGAUAUCAGCCCAAGAGCCGCAGGCUCGAGGGCUAAUAUCAUGAACGAGGGCCGAUAAAGGGUCUGAUAUGAAAAAUGCCAUGUAAUUAUCUUUUUAUCAUAUACUUCAGCAGAAGAAAAACAGACAAGAACUAUUAAAAUUUAAAAAAAAUCUUAACUUUAAUUGUUUUUAUUGAUAUUACAAGCAUUUUAUUUAUCUUGUCACAACAAUUAUCAUGUUCUUCAAUAAUAUUGUUACCUCAUUUAUGUCUUUCAAAACAUAUGUAACUUAAAUCUGUUUUGCUCCUCAAACAGUUUGUGAAAAGUCUUAUCACUUGCCGUUUUCCGCGUUCUUUUGUCGUUUCAAACAAAUUUCCGGAAAUGCACGAAGUUGCAUGUGAUAAACGUCACGGAAAUUAACGGAAAGGCAUGUAAUAACAUUCCGGAAGCAGUCAAUAAAAGUACCUUUAUCAGCCCGCUAUGGAGUUUCUUAGGAAUCUGGUCAAUAAACUUAGUAAUCCUUUCAUAGCCUUUUGAUAUUUUCAAAUGUUAUUGAACUGUAAAAUUUUAAUAAUAUUUUAUACAAGUAUAUGAUAAAUGCUAUUAUUAGUUGGGUAAAACCAUGUUUGUUUUGCGAGUGGUUAAUUUGACAAAACACGGAAGUCACCAAUAGGAUCAGACAUAAAUAUGUCAUAACGGAAAAAACUAUAAAACAAUUCCCAAAAAAUAUUUAUUUAUAUUUCAUAUCUAUAUUGCAUAUAGUUAUUUAUUUUUAGUACAUAUAGUAGUUAAGAGCAAUUGGUUACAUGUCUGUUAAUCAUAACCUGACUAGUGUAACCGAAUUGACCGAAACACCAUCAAAUUGUUUUUUUUUGCGAGUGGUUAAUUUGAAAAAAAGAUGGAAGUCAUCAUUAGGAUCAGACAUAAAUAUGUCAAAACGGAAAAUACCCUGAAGAAAUUUCCAAAAAAAUAUUUCUUUAUAUUUCAUAUAUUUAUUUCAUAUAGUUAAAACAUAUUUCUUACAUGCUGCAAUUAAGAGCAAUUGGUUCAUGUCUGUUAAUCAUAACAUGACUAGUGUAAGCUAAUUGACCGAAACACCAUCCGAAAUGAAAGGUACUGAAUUCUCGAACUUAAUACCAUAUUCAAUGAUAAUGAUGCUAUGAUUUCAACAUAAACGUUCAAAAGCUGAAAAAAAAACAGGCUGUACAAAUUUUUUUCCCCAAAUAAAGUUUUAAUCGAUAACCAUUCUUUUUGUUUUCAGCAAUGGAAACCUUGGCCAAAUUAUUUAAUGCUGCUGUAAUUAUGCCAUUUACAGCAGGCGAACCAAAUGAAAACAACUAUAGAAAUAACAAUAUUCGGCCUCACGAUGGCAGGAUUAGUGGAUUUAUACUAGUUUCAAGCGUGUUUGUAAUUGUACUUCUUUCUAUGUUAGGAGUUGAAUUUGUUGAUCAUAAAAGUGACAAGAAUUCUAAAUAUAUACCAAUUUACUCCUACCUUUGUAUAGUGAUCUUUCUAGCAAUUAUUGUUUGCGUUGGAACUUUGUUUAUGUAUCGACGUAGACAAACGCAAAUUACAGAAAGAGUCAAACCAACAACUAACGUAAAAUAUAUAUUUUUGUGGAUUUUUACAAUUGGAAGCAUUUUCUUUUCGUUAUCAAAGAUUACCAGCGCUGUUCAAUGUAAAAAGUAUAUAUUCGAGGAAUUUCAAAGAAUAGGUUGUAUCGACAAAAAUAUUACCUACGACCCUAGUUAUGAGAAAUCAUACGUUAGCUUGCAGUCUAUUCAGAUUAUAUUCUGCUUGGUUCAGUCAUUUUUUGUACAAACAUUAAUUUCUUUACGCUUUAAAAGUUCGUGGAAAAUGUACUAAAGUUUGCUGUUAAUAGUCUUAGCAAAUAUUUCCCAAUGGGCACAUUAUUUUUCCGAAAUAUACAUAUAUGAAGGCGGAAGACCGAUGGCGAGUUGUAAUAAAGCUAAUUGUACCAUUUGUAAAUCCGAUGAACUUUUAAGGACGAUACAGCCGUAUUGUGCGCCAAUUAAAAUGGAAUAUUUUCUGCUAUCAAUGAUUUGUAUAGCUGAACUCUGGCCAUCCAAUCACAUUCAUGUUGAUGAGGCAAUUCUGUUAAAGUCAAAUUCCGGAAGUGAAUAUACGCCAUUACUUUUAUCAUCUCAUGAAAGAAUCAACAGACUUGACUUUUACAAUUGUCGAACCUUUUUGUGUAUUGGAUUUGUCAUAUUGACGAUUUUGCCAUGUUUUAUAUUUGGUUUCAUUAAUCUUUCCAAAGAUAUUGAUAAAGGUCAAGAUAUUCAAACUGUCGAUGUAUCAUACGAUAUAUUUUUAUCAUUUUCUAAGACAACCUUACUUAUAAUUAGUUUUUAUAUGAUAUCACAAUCAUCGUCAUUUUUGAAACCUGUUAGGAAAACCCAAUAUCUCCAUUUUCAUCACAAAAUGAUAAUUGCAAGUUUUUUGGGUUCAAUUGCAUAUUGUUCAUUAGUAAUGUUUGCUUGCAUACACGAAAGAAAGGAGUAUUUAAUAAUGAGUCAGAAAUUAAUGACAAUGAUUGAGCUUUACUUUCAAGUUGUUUGUAUUUUACAAUUGAAUACAGUAGUUAUGAAAAGACAAAGCGGAGUCCUAGCGAGUACAUUUAUCUUAUACUCUGUAUUUUCAAUCUCUGCUACUGGUUUGAUGAUAGUGUUUUCGAAGCUAGAUCUAUCUACGACAAGCAAGUAUUACAAAGUGUUUAUAGCAUUACAACACAGAAACUCAUUUCUCAUUGUUUGUUUCCUUUCUUUGUGUUUUUCCGAUUUAAAUCUUUCAUUUCAUUUUAUGAAAUUUUUCGACAAAAUCCAAAAUAACGACAUAUCUCAAUAUCACGUGACCAUUUAUUUAUAAUAAAGAAGUGCUGCACCUGUUACUUAUAAGAACAAAAUGGAGUU